rnacentral:rRNA from 1 species
AUUGAACGCUGGCGGCAGGCCUAACACAUGCAAGUCGAGCGGGGUUUUCGGACCUAGCGGCGGACGGGUGAGUAAUGCGUAGGAAGCUACCCGAUAGAGGGGGAUACCAGUUGGAAACGACUGUUAAUACCGCAUAAUGUCUACGGACCAAAGUGUGGGACCUUCGGGCCACAUGCUAUCGGAUGCGCCUACGUGGGAUUAGCUAGUUGGUGAGGUAAUGGCUCACCAAGGCGACGAUCCCUAGCUGGUUUGAGAGGAUGAUCAGCCACACUGGAACUGAGACACGGUCCAGACUCCUACGGGAGGCAGCAGUGGGGAAUAUUGGACAAUGGGCGAAAGCCUGAUCCAGCCAUGCCGCGUGUGUGAAGAAGGCCUUCGGGUUGUAAAGCCCUUUUGUCCGGAAAGAAAAGCACUGGAUUAAUACUUCGGUGUUCUGACGGUACCGGAAGAAUAAGCACCGGCUAACUUCGUGCCAGCAGCCGCGGUAAAAC